rnacentral:rRNA from 1 species
UACGAAGGGGGCUAGCGUUGCUCGGAAUCACUGGGCGUAAAGAGCGCGCAGGCGGUCGUUCAAGUCGAGUGUGAAAGCCCCCGGCUCAACUGGGGAGGGUCAUUCGAUACUGAUCGACUCGAAGGCAGGAGAGGGAAGUGGAAUUCCCCGGUGUAGUGGUGAAAUGCGUAGAUAUCGGGAGGAACACCAGUGGCGAAGGCGACUUCCUGGCCUGUUCUUGACGCUGAGGCGCGAAAGCUAGGGGAGCAAACAGG